GUCAUAUGCUUGUCUCAAAGAUUAAGCCAUGCAUGUCUCAGUACAAGCCGAAUUAAGGUGAAACCGCGAAAGGCUCAUUAAAUCAGUUAUGGUUCCUUAGAUCGUACCCACAAUUACUUGGAUAACUGUGGUAAUUCUAGAGCUAAUACAUGCAAACAGAGCUCCGACCGGAGACGGAAGGAGUGCUUUUAUUAGAUCAAAACCAAUCGGUGGCGGGUUCGCUCGUCAUCGUACAACUUGGUGACUCUGAAUAACUUUACGCUGAUCGCACGGUCAUCGCACCGGCGACGCAUCUUUCAAAUGUCUGCCUUAUCAACUGUCGAUGGUAGGUUCUGCGCCUACCAUGGUUGUAACGGGUAACGGGGAAUCAGGGUUCGAUUCCGGAGAGGGAGCCUGAGAAACGGCUACCACAUCCAAGGAAGGCAGCAGGCGCGCAAAUUACCCACUCCCGGCACGGGGAGGUAGUGACGAAAAAUAACGAUACGGGACUCAUCCGAGGCCCCGUAAUCGGAAUGAGUACACUCUAAACCCUUUAACGAGGAUCAAUUGGAGGGCAAGUCUGGUGCCAGCAGCCGCGGUAAUUCCAGCUCCAAUAGCGUAUAUUAAAGUUGUUGCGGUUAAAAAGCUCGUAGUCGAAUUUGUGUCUCGCGCCGCCGGUUCAUCGUCCGCGGUGUUAACUGGCGAGUCGCGAGACGUCCUGCCGGUGGGCUUAGCUCGCGAGGGCGGCCCAACUCAAUCCUGCCGCGGUGCUCUUCAUUGAGUGUCGAGGUGGGCCGGCACGUUUACUUUGAACAAAUUAGAGUGCUUAAAGCAGGCUAAAACUUCGCCUGAAUACUGUGUGCAUGGAAUAAUGGAAUAGGACCUCGGUUCUAUUUUGUUGGUUUUCGGAACCCCGAGGUAAUGAUUAAUAGGAACGGAUGGGGGCAUUCGUAUUGCGACGUUAGAGGUGAAAUUCUUGGAUCGUCGC
rnacentral:rRNA from 1 species